rnacentral:rRNA from 1 species
CAGUGAACGUAAGCGGGAUGGGGGGCUGCUGCUGGCCUUUUGCUAGGCAUGUGCGCGCCUUUCUCUUGCGAACAUCCACUUACCCCUGUGCACCUGUCGGCGAGCGCCUCCUUGGCCUCGCUGUCCUUUAUAUGUUUGACCCCGAACGUGAAUGCAUGUUGAAACCCUACGGGGUGAAGUUAAAGUACAACUUUCAACAACGGAUCUCUUGGCUUUUGCAUCGAUGAAGAACGCCGCGAAAGCGCGAAACGUAAUGUGAAUUGCAGAAUUCAGUGAAUCAUCGAAUCUUUGAACGCAUCUUGCGCUCCUUGGUAUUCUGAGGAGCAUGCCUGUUUGAGUGUCGUGUAAAACCCUCGAAGCCCCUCCCUUUUGACCGAGGGAGGGCUUCGGAUUUGGAUGUCUGCGGCUAAGGGCCUUUGAGGCCCCGGGCCGCUCGUCUUGAAAUGCAUUAGCUUGGUCCCCUCGGACGACGACGGUGUGAUAAUCUGUUUGAAUGUGGCGCCGUUUGAAUCGAGGGGGUUUGGCCGACAGCCGUCCCUUGUGGACAGUGUUGAACGUAUGACCUCAGAUCAGGUAGGACUACCCGCUGAACUUAAGCAUAUCAAUAAGCGGAGGAAAAGAAACUAACAAGGAUUCCCCUAGUAACUGCGAGUGAAGCGGGAUGAGCUCAAAUUUGUAAUCUGGCGGCCUCUGGUCGUCCGAG